rnacentral:rRNA from 1 species
UGCGCAGGCGGCCUGAUAAGUCAGGGGUGAAAUAUGUCGGCUCAACCGGCAAACUGCCCCUGAAACUGCCAGGCUUGAGUCCGGGAGAGGAUGGUGGAAUUCCUGGUGUAGCGGUGAAAUGCGUAAAUAUCAGGAGGAACACCAAUGGCGAAGGCAGCCAUCUGGCCCGGUACUGACGCUCAGGCACGAAAGCUAGGGGAGCGAACA